AUGGACAGCCACACGAUCCGCAUCCUUGCGCUAGCCCUGCUGUCUCUGCAUCCCCUGUGCUCCGCCACCAUCGCUCAAUGCCGAACCAUCGCCAACCUGCACGACGAGAAGAUCAACUUUCCGAACGGGCUGUGCGGCGAGAACAAGCACUGCACCACUGAAUUUUGCUACUGCUGCCUGAUAUAUAACCGCUGCUACCUAACCAUGGACGCAUGCAAGAGACACUGUGACAAUCCACCCUCGUCUUCUUCGGAAGACUUGCAAGCGGUGGAGACGGCGACGGCGACGACCCAUGCUCCUUUACCCGCUGCCUAG
rnacentral:rRNA from 1 species